GUUGGGUUUGGUGACGCACACCUCUAAUCCCCGCUGCUUGGGAGGCUGAGGCAGGAGGAUUGCAAGUUCAAGGCCAACCUCAGCAACUUAACAAGACCCUGUCUCAA
rnacentral:sRNA from 1 species